UCUUGCUGCUGUGAUUGCACACUAGUAUUUCACCCAGUAGAUAUGGGAGUUGAUCAAAAUUGGAUUUGUUUUCUAAUUCUUUGUGUAUCUGUGUAAUCACACACACAGCAUUAUGCAAUGUUAAAGCUUCCUGAGUAGAUAGACAGUUCAGCAGAGGUACCCCCCCCAUCACCCACACCCCAGUAUGCCAUCUCCUCCAGCUAUCUCUAUAAUGGUAAGAGUCCUUUCCUCUCCGCCCGGCCAUCUCCUCCAGCUAUCUCUAUAAUGGUAAGAGUCCUUUCCUCUCCACCCGGCCGUCUCCUCCAGCUAUCUCUAUAAUGGUAAGAGUCCUUUCAUCUCCACCCGGCCGUCUCUAGCUAUCUCUAUAAUGGUAAGAGUCCUUUCCUCUCCACCCGGCCGUCUCCUCCAGCUAUCUCUAUAAUGGUAAGAGUCCUUUCCUCUCCACCCGGCCGUCUCCUCCAGCUAUCUCUAUAAUGGUAAGAGUCCUUUCCUCUCCACCCGGCCGUCUCCUCCAGCUAUCUCUAUAAUGGUAAGAGUCCUUUCCUCUCCACCCGGCCGUCUCCUCCAGCUAUCUCUAUAAUGGUAAGAGUCCUUUCCUCUCCACCCGGCCGUCUCUAGCUAUCUCUAUAAUGGUAAGAGUCCUUUCCUCUCCAUCUCUAUAAUAGCUCUGCUUUGUUUUUUUAAAAUGGCAGCUGGAACCCACAGGCUUCCCAACAUUCCAAAGCUCCAAACUGAUUGGCUCUUCAUUAAAAUAUUUGACUAUAUUCAAAUCACAGUUUGGGAACAAUCACUGUGGUGGAUUAACUUUGUGUUUCAAUGGUGAGCCAGAGGAGAUUUCAUCAUAUGUUCAUGUCCAAAUUACAUCAUUUGAGAAUAAGAUGCAAAGUUGAUCUGAAGACAAAGUUAGAGUCCUUUCCAUUUUGAACAAUCACUACAUUCCCUGCGUAGGUAGCAGACCGGUGCUGAACACGUUCCCUGCGUAGGUAGCAGACCUGUGCUGAACACAUUCCCUGCGUAGGUAGCAGACCGGUGCUGAACACAUUCCCUGUGUAGGUAGCAGACCUGUGCUGAACACGUUCCCUGCGUAGGUAGCAGACCGGUGCUGAACACGUUCCCUGCGUAGGUAGCAGACCGGUGCUGAACACGUUCCCUGUGUAGGUAGCAGACCGGUGCUGAACACGUUCCCUGUGUAGGUAGCAGACCGGUGCUGAACACAUUCCCUGUGUAGGUAGCAGACCGGUGCUGAACACGUUCCCUGCGUAGGUAGCAGACCUGUGCUGAACACGUUCCCUGUGUAGGUAGCAGACCUGUGCUGAACACGUUCCCUGUGUAGGUAGCAGACCUGUGCUGAACACGUUCCCUGCGUAGGUAGCAGACCGGGGCUGAACACGUUCCCUGCGUAGGUAGCAGACCGGUGCUGAACACGUUCCCUGCGUAGGUAGCAGACCUGUGCUGAACACGUUCCCUGUGUAGGUAGCAGACCGGUGCUGAACACGUUCCCUGCGUAGGUAGCAGACCGGUGCUGAACACGUUCCCUGCGUAGGUAGCAGACCUGUGCUGAACACGUUCCCUGUGUAGGUAGCAGACCGGUGCUGAACACGUUCCCUGCGUAGGUAGCAGACCUGUGCUGAACACGUUCCCUGCGUAGGUAGCAGACCUGUGCUGAACACGUUCCCUGUGUAGGUAGCAGACCUGUGCUGAACACGUUCCCCUUGUAGGUAGCAGACCGGUGCUGAACACGUUCCCUGCGUAGGUAGCAGACCUGUGCUGAACACGUUCCCUGUGUAGGUAGCAGACCGGUGCUGAACACGUUCCCUGUGUAGGUAGCAGACCGGUGCUGAACACGUUCCCUGCGUAGGUAGCAGACCUGUGCUGAACACGUUCCCUGUGUAGGUAGCAGACCUGUGCUGAACACGUUCCCUGCGUAGGUAGCAGACCUGUGCUGAACACGUUCCCUGUGUAGGUAGCAGACCUGUGCUGAACACGUUCCCUGUGUAGGUAGCAGACCGGUGCUGAACACGUUCCCUGCGUAGGUAGCAGAGGUGCUGAACACUGACAUAGUGAUUGGAGAGACAGACUAUAGAUCCUACACAGUGUUUUACUACCAGAAACAGGGACAGUUCAACUCCUACAAAAAUGUCCAUUAAUUAUAAUCUACAUAAUCAUUCAAAUUUCCUGUUGCUUAAAUUAUGAUCCAUUUGUACAUAUAUGAAAUUAGAAGAUUUAUUUUCCUUAGUUAUGUAUAUUAAAACAAUAAUGUUGAAAUUGA